UGGAUGAAGAUUUUGUGUGAUUUUGAGUUUUUAUGGAAAAGAUAUGAAUGUUCAAAGAUAAGGUGUCAAUUUCGUACCUACUGUUACUUCUUUUGGGCAUCACAUACGAAUACGGAGAGCAACGGAAGAUCGGCGACUGGAUUUGGAGGGAGCAUUUUCUCGGCUACACAUUCUACUUAUUGUAUAGUGAAUUCUAAGAUUGAGUGAAGGAGUUAUGAGGCGUUGAAGACAGCACUUGUAAUUUGAAGGCAGUAAGUAUAUCGUUUUGUUGCUAGUUAUGGAUGAAGCCAUAUCUUGAGUUUCUGGACGAAUUUUUGGCUCAAAAUUUCCAUAAGUGUGUGUAAUUGGGUUAAGAAGCUUUAGAUCAAAGUUUCAUAGUAUUUGAAUAAUUCCUUUGUGAGAUAUGAAGGAAGUUGUAUACGGGUGUAAAAAAGCUAGGGUUUGAAGCUACAGUUAGGGUUUUCAAGAUAUCACAAGAUCCAAGACGAAUUUACAGUUGAAUUUUGGUGUGGUAGUUGCUAACGAUAUAUCAGUACUCCAUGUAAACUUUGGAGUUGUUUAGACGGUUAGAUCGUAAGUUAUGAGCUGUUGAACUUUGGGAAAAAUUCCUCAUAAGGAUAUAUAAGUUUUUUAUAACACCUUAUCAAGUAUUUUGGUGUUCUUUGGAUUUUAAGGCUUGUAUAUUGAUGUAAUUGCUCCAAAGGAGAGGAGUUUAUAUAUAUAAAAUUGUUAUCCUUAUAUUU
rnacentral:lncRNA from 1 species